AAUAAACCGAUGAAAAAGCAUAGAAACUAAAUUGAUUUUCAAAGAGAGUUAGUGGUUGGUGGAAACUAAUAAAGGUUUAGUGGAAAUUGGGGCUUUGGAGGGAAUUCCGGGUUCUCCCGUUAUCGAGAAAAGAGUGGUUAUAUAGAUUUAUAUAACAAAAAAGGUGGCACCACAGGUUUACGCUUGUCCUUUUA
rnacentral:ncRNA from 1 species